ensembl:lncRNA
GGACAAAAGGCCAUUGUGUGGGAAGCCACUCCCAUUGAAGCUCAGCCCCCAGAUCUCUGAUACCCUAGCUCCACUGAUGUGGGUGUGGCUGCAGGAGGCUACUUGAACAUUUUCUACUGCAAGGCUAUCCCUGUUCUGUUUUUGUCCUGCAUAUGAUGUUCUUGACUUGGGGGUCAUGGAUAAGCUCACUGUCUGUGAGGCUGUGAAAUCACACUCACAAUUUUGCACAUAUGUGUGUUUCUCUAUGGAAAAUGUUUCGUAGACUUCAGGUUCUCAGUUGUUCCCUGACAGAGAGGUCAGAAUGACUGCUGUUGAUUGAUAAAGCUCUGCCCCCUCUUGAGGCAUCAAACAUUCUUUAAUCUGAUUUCUGUUGCUUUUCUUUUUUCUUUUUUUGCCCACUCCUAUUUUAUGUGGGAGUUCCCUGGCCAGGGAUCAAACCCUCACCACAACAGUGACCGAAACAAUUGCAGUGACAAAGCUAUCCUUAACCUUCUGUGCUACAAGGGAACUCCUCUUAUUUCUGUUUUAAUUCUUUUCCUAUAAGCAAACAUCAGGUUACAGUUUGGCUUCACAUAUAGGCAUGGAGUUGGGGGAGGGGUGACUAGAACUGUCCUGUCAGUGUAAAUAGUGUGGGUCCUGUGAAUGGUAAUUUAUUAAUGUGGCAUCUUGAUGGUAUAUGUUGGUUCUGUGAACUUAAUGUGCAUUUACCCCUGAGACAAAAAUCUGCUCUCAGCCCUACAAAGUCCAGUUUGAUUCACUGGGAGCAAAUCACUGGGGGUCCAAUAAGAUCAUAAAUUCUACUGCCAGAUUAUUGAGAGCUAUUAAGUCAGUCUUUUUCUUUGGUGAGACACCAACACACACACAUAGACACACACACACUCACUCAGUCACUCACUCUCAUUAUUUUGUCAUGUGCAAUUUUCCUUCAAACAUCAUUCUAAGAAAACUUUGUCUUCGAAGUAUUGAAUAUUAUUAAAAACACUUAGUUUCAUGUAUUCACCUAAGGAAACAUCUAUGAUACAAGAAAGUGAAGAAAAAUGCUGUAUAAUCCCAUUUUGGUAAAAAUAUUUUAAAAGUACUUUUAUAAGUAUGUAGACACAUGUGUGUAAAUCCAUGCAUCCUCAUAUAUGUAUAGCAUACACACAUACAAGCUUAUAUGAAUAUUCAGAAAAAUAUAGGAGAAUACAUGAAAUGUUAUAAAUGUUACUUUGGGGAAUAAGUGGGAUGGUUAGGAAGGAUUGCUUGAUUUUCCUUUGUAUUAUUUGUAUUUAUUUAGCUUGUCUGAAUGAGUAUUUAAAAAACAAAAUUGUGAGCAUUAUGAAAUAAAAAAUUGGGUUAAGGAUCCGGCAUUGCGGUGAGCUGAGGUAUAAGUUGCAGAUGUGACUUGGAUCCUGCAUUGCUGUGGCUGUGGUGUAGACCAGCAGCUACAGCUCCAAUUUGACCCCCUAGCCUGGAAACUUCCAUAUCACAUGGGUGCGGCCCUAAAAAACAAACAAACCAAAAAA